CCUAUGGUUCCUGCCUAAUGCAUGUUGUAUUUCCAUGUGAAUAAUAAAAGGUAAUGUACCCCCAUGAGAAGAAAACCCUCUUCUUGGAUCCUUGGAGAAGGGAAAGGCAAAAUGAGGGUGUGCCUAUCUACAAGGUACAUUUGAUACAGUGUACUAGUUCCGGUGUUGUAUGAGUUUUUUAACAAUGAUGUGCUGUAUCUUGACACAUGUACUAUCUACAUACUGUAGAGCCUUUAUGAGGAUGAAAGGCUGCAAGGUGUCAAGGUGGACAUGCAGCACCCUCCCCCAUAAUCAACAAGACAGCACAUCCUGUGGUGUCCUGGCCUUAAAAUUUGCAGAGAAGAUUUUACUGGGGGAGGCAAUUGAGUUUGAAACAUCACAGAAGACAUCACAUCACAAAACAUUACAUUGCUACUUCUCUCCUCAGAGAAUCUGAUGAUCUAAGCAGGCUUUGCUUUUACUGCAGGAUGGAGGAGCAGGAUGAAGAACAUUGGAUUUGCAGUGGUACCACAAUGUGUACAAAGGCCUCCAGUGGAUCAACCGUACUUGUGCCCUGAAUGCACAUAAUGCCCCGAAGGAACCAUCAUUAACUGUCCACUGUCAUUUCAACCAAUGCAACUAUUGUUUGGCCUGUCAUAAAAUGCACCCCACCCCAAAAGAUGUUUCUAUGAAUCCCACCGUCAAGCAUUUUUCAGGGUAUGGUUCUAGGACUGGUACCAAUAAAUGGAGCAAGUUUCAUGAAUGUCACACUUUUAUUUUGUACGCAUAGCUUAUAUAAUAAUAUGCUGACAAAGACUAUGUAACAUUUGUAAACAUAUAUCUGGACACAGGCCGUGGGGGGGACACCCGAGACCGGGCAUUGCCCCCCGAAAAAUAAAAAAUAAUAAAACCGGGGAAAAGUGAAAAUAGGCACUCAUGAGGCGGGCAGAGUCCCCUGUCAACUUCCGUUACAUUCCUCCAUGGUGUCAUUUGAGCGAAAAACUUUUACGAGAACCAGGCUGGGGGGGUCAAAAGGGCUUGACGAAGGCCGACCCAAAGUGCACGGUGAUGAGCCUCCAUUGUGAUUUGAAAACUUCCAUCAAACGGGUCCUUCGGUGGGCGGGAAAAAAAACGUGUUCGUCAGAAUCGUCACUUCCUGUACUGACAGUGGAGGUGUCCUGAGAGUGCAGCCUGCACCGGAACUGUCCUGAGAGUGGAGGUCUGCAGGCAGGCUCCCAUGCAAUUACUUGAGCUAAUGAAGAAAACCAGAUUGUUGUCA